CCAUUGUACGCUUUGGAAACUGGAGGACUUGAGUGCAGAAGGGGAGAGUGGAAUUCCAUGUGUAGCGGUGAAAUGCGUAGAUAUAUGGAGGAACACCGGUGGCGAAAGCGGCUCUCUGGUCUGUAACUGACGCUGAGGCUCGAAAGCGUGGGGAGCAAACAGGAUUAGAUACCCUGGUAGUCCACGCCGUAAACGAUGAGUGCUAGGUGUUAGGCCCUUUCCGGGGCUUAGUGCCGCAGCUAACGCAUUAAGCACUCCGCCUGGGGAGUACGACCGCAAGGUUGAAACUCAAAGGAAUUGACGGGGGCCCGCACAAGCGGUGGAGCAUGUGGUUUAAUUCG
rnacentral:rRNA from 1 species